CAGCACUAAAAGGUCAAGGAACUAAUGGAAAUUAAACUACCUUCUUAUCCCUUGAAGUAGACCCUCUGUAAUGGGGUUAAAGCACAUUGGGAAGACAGAGUGGUGAAGUUUGCUGUACCCGUUCUGUGGAAAUUAUUAUUUUAGUUUCCAGGACUGUCAAGCCAGCAUGUUAGCAAGGAUUAAUAGUCACUUAAAUUUACACAAGGGACUUUUGAAGACUGCAGGGUACUGAUCAUCCCUUGGAAAGUGCUGGGGACAGUCAGCUCCCACUGAUUUCAGCUAGAGAUUGCUCUUGUUAGCUCAAACUGGAGUUACCCGCUUCAGCAAAGUCAGCAUUGAGGUCUGGACGACAUGGGUACCGGUGUGCCAACAGACCUCCUCUUGCCCGAGGGCACCACAUGGGGCAAGAUCCUCACCACCACCAUCUCCCAAGGAUGUGGCCCCUUUAAGGCAUAUGCUUUCCCUGGAAACUAAGAUAAUGCAGCCAGCAUGGAGAAGCUCUAUGUGAAUGGAUGGAGUCUGGGGGGGACAUAGGAUAGAAACAGGGUUUAGAGGCUGAGACUCCAGGAACAAGUGACACCACUGAGGAGAUUCAGACACCCCUUAAUUAACCCAUCAAAUCGCUUUUGACAUUUUAAGAUCAUGGCACAGAUGCCUGGGAAGGAGAAGGGAGAGAGAAGGAAAGAGGGAGAAGGGUAUAGCAAGAAUGAGGAAAUAUACAAUUAUGUUUAAAUCUACAAAAUUGUAUUUUGUAUUCCCCCCUCCCCCUCUCCGUUCCUUUCUUCCUCUGGGUUGUUUUGUAUUUGUUAUCUUUUUAGA